AUGAGGCUACUGGGUCUUCUCUUGUGCCUGGUGACAGCCCCCCAAGGUAUCCUGUCCCAGGUGCAGCUGCAGGAGUCGGGCCCAGGACUGGUGAAGCCCUCACAGACCCUCUCCCUCACCUGCACUGUCUCUGGUUACUCCAUCACCAGUGAUUACUGCUGGAAUUGGAUCCGCCAGCCCCCGGGGAAGGGGCUGGAGUGGAUGGGGUGCAUACGUUAUGAUGGAGACACUUACUACAGCCCCUCCCUCAAGAGCCGAACCUCCAUCUCCAGAGACACAUCCAAGAACCAGUUCUUCCUGCAGCUGAGCUCUGUGACCACUGAGGACAUGGCUGUGUAUUACUGUGCGAGACACAGUGAGAGGAAGUCAGUGUGA